UUUUUAGAGAGUUUGAUCCUGGCUCAGGAUGAACGCUGGCGGCGUGCCUAACACAUGCAAGUCGAACGGAACUAUUUUGGAAAGUUCUUCGGAACUGGAAUCUUUAGUUUAGUGGCGGACGGGUGAGUAACGCGUGAGCAAUCUGCCUUUAAGAG
rnacentral:rRNA from 1 species